rnacentral:lncRNA from 1 species
GACUGGGGUGGUUGUCUAUUUAUCCAGCAGUAACCAAUCAUUCCUUCCAGUCUCUCAGUUCAAGGAGAGCCCCUCCUCUUUGCUGAGUGUUUCUUUCCUCUCUCAUUUGUCUGUUGGAAGCUGUUUUUGUAGGUUGCUGUAGAUCUGUUUACGAUUGUAAAUAAUGAAAUGUUUUUUAUUCUCUCUACUACAGUAUGAAUGUCUCAGAAUAAGUUAUUAUUGAGACUUUAAAUGCCAGUUAAUGAGAAAGGGUUAGGCUGUCUGGGAAACCUUUGUGAGUAUUUCUACCACAAAGAAAAAGGAAUUUUUACCAGAAAUACAAAACUCUGCAACAGAGUGAAGGUGCAAUUCAAGUAGUAUCAAAGGAAUUGGGUACUUGGCUGCAGAAUCAGAGGUUUCAUUCCCCACUUCUGGGAGAAGAUACAGCCUGUGUGGAAUUUGUGUGGGAUUUGGCAAGAGUCCCAGGAUGCCCUUGGAGAAGAAGGAAACGGUGAACCACUUCUGAGUAUUCUCUAGCUAGAAAACCAUGGAAAGGAUCAUUAAUAUUCAGAAUCAACUUGACAUUAUUUAAUGAUGAUAAUGAUGAUUAUUAUACAGGAGUAUAAGGGGACUGCAGAGAAGCGGAAUUAAUCCUUUGUGUCUCUCUUCAUUGCAGUGGGUGUAGGAUAGAUAUGUGCCUGAUUUCAGGAAGAAGCUAUGAAAACCUGAGUUAAAAACUAGUGAAAAGGAGAUAAAUCUUGGUGCUUUAUAUGCCUAGUGAAAUGAUGGGACUUUCUACCCUUUUCCUUACUCUGCAGUCUUCAAUGUCACCCAAAAUCCUGGUUUUCAAGCCUUCUGGAAACAGAUGUUUGUGGCACUCUAAAAAGCACCCCAUUCCAGUUUCACCAGAAUGGCCCUAUUGGAUUCAUGAACCAAGCUGGAGGCAUCUUCCUCCAUUGGUCAUGACACACAUUCCAAGCUUGGUCAACAAGUCACCACUGGCUGAAUCACAUCAAAGUGUUGUUCUCCAGACAGAGACAGCCAUACUGCCAGUGGGACCUUUCUCUUCUCAGAGAUUCCUUCUUGAAAGUGACACCCAUUGUUUCCACGAUAGGUGACUGACAGGGUCACUUGCUACUGGAAGAAGAGCAAGAGUUCUGUCUGAUUAAAUUUCCACUGCUGUUGCUGUAUACAGAAAGAUCAAUGAAAUUGCAAGACCUUUUGAGUAUUAUUCCUAGCAGUUCUGGGCAACUCACUGGAAGAAAGAACAGCACAGUCCUGGACACGUCUAUUCAGAAAUAAAGCCAACGGAUUUCACUGGGACCUACUCUUG